GCGGGGGAGGAGGUGAUCGCGGGCCGGUUGUUGCGGCUCGAGGAAAGUCCGGACUCCGCAGAGCAGGACGCUGGGUAACGCCCAGGAGGGGAAACCCUACGGAUAGCGCCACAGAAAACAAACCGCCUGCCUCGGUAGGUAAGGGUGAAACGGUGGGGUAAGAGCCCACCGCGGUUCCGGGCGACCGGACCGGCACGGCAAGCCCCGUCCGGAGCAAUGCCAAGUAGGAGAGGAGGAGCGGCUCGCUCCGUUCCGCAGUCAUGCGGGUAACUCUUGGGUAGGCAGCUAGAGGUUGCCGGCAACGGCAAUCCCAGAGAAAUGAUCACCCACGACAGAAUCCGGCUUAUCCCUCCCCCAAUUUU
rnacentral:RNase_P_RNA from 1 species